AUAGAGCAACCGCUUCUAUGCAGUUUCUUGUUAGCCCCGAUAAUCUUUCUCACUCGCCAAAGUUAAAGAAGAUUAUCGGGGUUUUCACUU
rnacentral:antisense_RNA from 14 species